AGAGUUUGAUCCUGGCUCAGAUUGAACGCUGGCGGCAGGCCUAACACAUGCAAGUCGAGCGGAUGAGUGGAGCUUGCUCCAUGAUUCAGCGGCGGACGGGUGAGUAAUGCCUAGGAAUCUGCCCGGUAGUGGGGGAUAACGUCCGGAAACGGGCGCUAAUACCGCAUACGUCCUACGGGAGAAAGCAGGGGACCUUCGGGCCUUGCGCUAUCGGAUGAGCCUAGGUCGGAUUAGCUAGUUGGUGAGGUAAUGGCUCACCAAGGCGACGAUCCGUAACUGGUCUGAGAGGAUGAUCAGUCACACUGGGACUGAGACACGGCCCGGACUCCUACGGGAGGCAGCAGUGGGGAAUUUUGGACAAUGGGCGAAAGCCUGAUCCAGCCAUUCCGCGUGAGUGAAGAAGGCCUUCGGGUUGUAAAGCUCUUUCGGCAGGAACGAAACGGCGGAUAUUAAUACUAUCCGUUACUGACGGUACCUGAAGAAGAAGCACCGGCUAACUACGUGCCAGCAGCCGCGGUAAUAC
rnacentral:rRNA from 1 species